AUCACGGACUUACCGUUAAAAAGAUAGAGAUGCCACCAUCCGAUAAUACUGAUGGAAACACUGACUUCCAAACUGAAAGUGAACCCAAAGGAAAUAACGGCCAAAGCAAUACUCAGAAAAGGGCCUCAAAAAGUGGCCCGAGGAUGGCGCCAUCUGUGAAAACAAUAGGAUCCAAGCCUGCCUAUCUGAGCUCCAAAGAAGGAGUCCAGGAGAAAGGUUUAGCUGCCAUAAUUUCAGAAAAACUGGACCAGUCUAUUAAACAGUACUGCUCUGAGAAAAACUCCUUGUAUAACACAUCGAUGCUGCUGUGUGUUCUGCUGAUCUCUCUCCUCUUCAGCCUUCUCUGCCAGUUGUUUGAGAUCUCCAAGGUUCUGCGAAUCCAGCUUCUGCCUAUGUCUCCGUUUAUCCGCAUCUAUCGAAUCUUUGCCUGGAUGGGUGAAAAGCCUGUGAACAUCAUGACUUCCCUGAAGCAAGGAAUCUUUGCUCUGUUACCUUCCAUCCUGCGUAAAAAAGAGAAAAAGGACUUCUGGGACGAAUAAUAUGUGUGAGGAAAAUUAAAAUGUAGCUACUCCACCAAGUAAAGCAAAAGUAAUGCAUUCUUGUAACAAUCACACACUUGUCGGGAUUACUGAAAUGUGUUUCAUUGCUAUUAUUUCAGGUUGGCAGUUUUAAAGAGUGAGAAGUUGCAUCUGUUAUAUUAUUUCAGUUUUGUCCACGUCACAAGGAAGUGGUGGAACCAAAAUCUUAACAUUGCAAUCUUAUUCUUUGUUCUAGGUAAAUGUAUCAAAGUACAGUAGAGUCUCACUUAUCCAACACUCGCUUAUCCAACAUUCUGGAUUAUUCAACGCAUUUUUGUAGUCAAUGUUUUCAAUACUUUGAUAUUUUGGUGCUAAAUUCGUAAAUACAGUAAUUACAACAUAACAUUACUGCGUAUUGAACUACUUUUUCUGCCAAAUUUGUUGUUAAACAUGAUGUUUUGGUGCUUCAUUUGUAAAAUCAUAACCUGAUUUGAUGUUUAAUAGGCUUUUCCUUAAUGCCUCCUUAUUAUCCAACAUAUUCGCUUAUCCAACAUUCUGCCAGCCCGUUUAUGUUAGAUAAGUGAGACUCUACUGUAUACUGUUCUAUUACAUACGUGGAUAAGCUGCAACCUUUCAGGUAUUGUUGGACUGUACCUCUCUGCAUUCCUCAUCAUUUAAAAUGUUAGCUCUGGUUGCUGGAACUUUUCAGUUGAACCUCUUUGCCUACCUCUUUUCUAUUAAAACAAAGAGGCUUUAUAGUCAUGUAGCCUACCAAUUACCUUUACUACUUUGAGUAAAAAGUAUUCUCAACAUAUGCACACCUUACAACAGUAAAUUCCUACUAUUAUUUCAAUGUUAGCUUUUUCUAAGUGUAUUAGUGAAGAAAUUAUAUCACAUUGAACAUUCUGUCUUUUAGAUAAAUGUGUUUUCAUUAUUUAAAUCUAAGAGUACUUAUAGCAGCUUCCUCUUCCUCCUAUUUCCAAUAUAGAGCUUAUGGCAAAGUGGUAUUAUGUCUGUAUGGAUAAUAAUGUUGUUAGUUUUAACCACAAAUGGCAAAUACAGGUUGAACAUCCUUUGAAUUCCAAAAUCCUCCACAUGGAUGACUGAUGCCUUUGUUUUCUAGUGGCUCAAUGUACACAAAUUUUGUUUCGUGCAUUUUUUUAAAAAAAGAAUUGCAUAUAAAAUUAUCUUUAGAUUAUGUAUCAGUUGUUUCUGAAACAUAAAUACAUUCUGAGAUAGCUCAUUAUAAAUAUGUAAAUAUUCAAAAUCUGAAAAAUUCAAAAUAUGGAAUAUGGUACUUCUGCUCCAAAGUAUUUUGGAUAAGGGAUACUUAACCUCUAAUGUCUAAAGCGAGCUUCCCAAUUAGAGUUAAUGUUAAAACUGUAUGCAGAUACGAUGCAUUAUAGUUGUGACCAAGACAAUGUCUGUGCACAGGUUUCCUUUCUAUUCCAAGCAAUUAAGAAAGUAGCAACAAUGUAUCAACACAACAUUUAUAUGCUUUCUUGAAUGUUGAAUUGUGAUGGCUUAUAGUGAUGGCUAUUAUUUACUAUGUGCUAUUAAUUAUUUCUCAAUUGUUAAGUCAGGAAAAACAGUAGUCUGAUAUAUUAUGAUUAAUAUGAAAGAUUUCAGUUUCAGAUACUACCUCAUUAAAUGUAUUGUGCUAAGUAUAUAAAAAGCUUGAUAUAUUUGGAGCCUAUUUAAACAGUAAUGAGUGAAACACUUUAAGCUGCCCUUCAAAACCUUCUGAAUAUCUAGCUAUGCUGUCUAGAAUUGAAUUACAAAGUUACGAUGUUAUAGAUAACUGCUAUAAAUGUAUUGAAAAGCUAUUUUUUGAGAUUUGCACUAGAUAUUAAAAUGUAUUUUCUUGCACUUCUUUUCAUUCAGCUAUAUUCCUUGAUGUCUUCAGUGCCAGUUCAUAAGCAGUUUUAUUCUAAUUUCAGUUUUAAUAUAUCUGCUCUGUUUGUUUAUUUUUUCAGAGCUUUUUCACAAGUACCUUGUGUAUCAGUAUCCUUCUAUCCCAAAUCUUUUGAGUUUCAAGUCAGUAUUCCCUCAGUAUCAAAGGAUUGGAUGCAAACAUGAAAACUAAAUAAUUUUACUAAGGCAUACCCUUUCUUGGCUUUGGUUAACACACAUAUGGCAUUUUAUUUGCUGUCUGUGUCCCUGUUCAGAAGAUUUCACCUCACUUUCUGUCUCUGUGAUAAUUGGAUUUUGAAAAAAAAAAUUGGAUUGUUGUGGAAACAAGGAUUGGUGAUAAAAUUUCAGUGGAGACACCUUUCCCCUAAAACUCUUUCAGAAGCGAAUUUCCCUUCUGAUGGGUAGAUUUCUCUCACUUCCUGUUGCCUCAGCCCCAUUCUUAACUAUGAGUUAUUUGUAAGUUGGAUGUUUGUAACCUGGGGACUGCUUAUAUAGGGAAGUUUAUGCCACAAUAAAAUCUGUUUUGCUGUUAAAAUACCAGAACAUUUCUUAUGGAUUUGGCUGCAAUGAAUCACAUGCCCUUUCAUACCACACAGCUAUAACACUAUGAUUCUCCUUUAACUGCCAUGGCUACAACCUGCAGAAUCAUGGGCUUUGUAAUUUGGUGAGAUACGAGAGCUCUCUGUCUCAGCUCCUCUCUAAUCUGCAAAUCCCAGAAUGCCAUACAAUGUUUCCAUGGCCAUUAAAUUGUAUCAUAAUUGUGUAGUAUGGAACUGAUCUAAUGAGGCUAUACACUCUGGGAAAUUCCUACAUUAAAAACCAAAUUAUUCUUUGUUACUCAGAUAUUUGCUGCACUCCUUCUUAGAAGCAGACACGGAGCUCAGAAAAUAUACAUUUCUUUUCUUUAUUUGAGAAAUCCUGGGAAACAGGUCAACCCCACCAAUGAAUAAACUUUGAUUUGCUUGCUGUUAUUGUGUGUCUUCACGUCAUUUCAAGUUGACCCUAAGGCAAUGUUUCAAAUGGUCUCUUUACAUUUCAAUUCUGUAGCAACCAGAGAAAUUCACAAAAUUAGCCAGGAAAAAUUAAUAAAAAAUUCUGUGGAUAGGUAUCAACACCUCACCUCUGCUGAGUUUGCCUUUGGAUGGGCGGGGUGGAGCACAUAGUACAUAAAAGCAUAUAGUAUAUGAAAAUCUAUAGUGCAAACUUCAAACAAGACAUACAUAUAUGUGAGUGUAGAGACUGGCUUGCAAGUCAUUAUGGAUUUUGUGUGCUUGCAAAGUGUAAAAACACUGAAUACAGUGAAUAGUAAUGUAUGUGCAUGUCCCUUCAGUCUGCCUGCUGACGAAUGUCAUGAGUUCUCACAGCAUUUUCUUAGCCAAGGAAUACACAGAUGUGGUUUUGGUAGUUUGUUCUUCUGGAAUACAGCCCUAAGCACCUGAUAUUUAUUGGUAGUCUCUGAUCCAAAUAUUAUCAGAACUGACUCUGCUUAGUUUCAAAGAUCAGAAUGGAUCUGGUACUUUUAAAGUACUUGGGCAAGGAAAGCAGUUAUCAGUGCAACUACAAUGAAGUCAGUAACAAAAGUAAUAAAUGGCAUAAAGUGUUAUAAAAUUGUUUAAAGCAUAAAAUAAAUAUGCCAGUAAUACCCACUUGGAUGAGGAGCCCCUGAUGGUGUAGUGGGUUAAAACCUUGUGACUUGAAGGUUGGGUUGCUGACCUGAAGGCUGCCAGGUUCGAAUCCCACCUGGGGAGAGUGCAGAUGAACUCCCUCUUUCAGCUCCAACUCCAUGCAGGGACAUGAGAGAAGCCUCCCACAAAAAUGGUAAAAACAUCAAAACAUCCAGGCGUCCCCUGGGCAAUGUCCUAGCAGACGGCCAAUUCUCUCACACCAGAAGUG
rnacentral:lncRNA from 1 species